rnacentral:rRNA from 1 species
GUAGUCAUAUGCUUGUCUCAAAGAUUAAGCCAUGCAUGUCUAAGUAUAAGCACUCUUUUACUGUGAAACUGCGAAUGGCUCAUUAAAUCAGUUAUCGUUUAUUUGAUAGUACCCUACUACAUGGAUACCUGUGGUAAUUCUAGAGCUAAUACAUGCGCAAAACCCCGACCUCGGAAGGGGUGUAUUUAUUAGAUAAAAAACCAAUGCCCUUCGGGGCUCCUUGGUGAUUCGUAAUAACUUCACGAAUCGCAUGGCCUUGCGCCGGCGAUGGUUCAUUCAAAUUUCUGCCCUAUCAACUUUCGAUGGUAGGAUAGUGGCCUACCAUGGUGGCAACGGGUAACGGGGAAUG